ACCAGGCUGCGCAGAUUGUCCUCCUGAGACUGGACCGUGAGAGCAGCAGUCCCGGUCAGCGUCCGGCGAGUAAAGUCGACGCUGCAGCGCAGGUGCAGGUGCUUGGUCCGGCAGACGGAAGCCGGAGAGGCCAACGAACAGGUAUCCACUAUCUCGGGCAUGGCUCUGGGGGAUCACACAGCACAGCGACCUACAGCCCAACGCUCAGCUACCAGACUCGUCGAUAGAGAACCUGAGGAGGAGGGAGAGAGGUAAGCCUGAUUGCAAGCUUCAUUGUACCUGUUUC
rnacentral:lncRNA from 1 species